GGGGGUGUAAGGUUUCGACGAGAAAUGUACUUUGAAAAGCUGCAAGCCGAGCUUGAACCAGGCUCGUAAAACAGGUUCAAAACACAAGUGCUAAAAACUUUUUGGCACAAGUGGACGCAGAGGUAAAAUCCCGCAUGGGAUCCCUCUUCUCCACUCCUCUCUACGCUUUCGCUGCUUAAGCAGGUGUAGAUGGGCGUCUUGUCUGACUUAUCUUGAGAGGCAGAUGAGGUGUAACCAAAUCAAGGUGCUCUCUACCGGUUACGGAUUAACCUAAGUAGGGCCAAGACAAUUAAUCCACAGCUGUCCGGGGCUUUAUCCGAGACUACGCUUGUAGAUGCUUCAGGAGAACUUUUUCGGACGCGGGUUCAAUUCCCGCCACCUCCACCG
rnacentral:tmRNA from 1 species